ACCUGAAUCACUGGGACCUUGUUAAAAUGCAGCUUCUGAUUCCAUGGUCUGGAGGGGGGCCUAAAAUUCUGCAUUUUUAGCAGGCUCCCAUGUGAUGCCAAU
rnacentral:pre_miRNA from 1 species